rnacentral:rRNA from 1 species
GUCGUACAGGUCUCCGUAGGUGAACCUGCGGAGGGAUCAUUACACAAAUAUGAAGGCGGGCUGGAACCUCUCGGGGUUACAGCCUUGCUGAAUUAUUCACCCUUGUCUUUUGCGUACUUCUUGUUUCCUUGGUGGGUUCGCCCACCACUAGGACAAACAUAAACCUUUUGUAAUUGCAAUCAGCGUCAGUAACAAAUUAAUAAUUACAACUUUCGACAACGGAUCUCUUGGUUCUGGCAUCGAUGAAGAACGCAGCGAAAUGCGAUAAGUAGUGUGAAUUGCAGAAUUCAGUGAAUCAUCGAAUCUUUGAACGCACAUUGCGCCCUUUGGUAUUCCAAAGGGCAUGCCUGUUCGAGCGUCAUUUGUACCCUCAAGCUUUGCUUGGUGUUGGGCGUCUUGUCUCUAGCUUUGCUGGAGACUCGCCUUAAAGUAAUUGGCAGCCGGCCUACUGGUUUCGGAGCGCAGCACAAGUCGCACUCUCUAUCAGCAAAGGUCUAGCAUCCAUUAAGCCUUUUUUUCAACUUUUGACCUCGGAUCAGGUAGGGACACCCGCUGAACUUAAGCAUAUC